rnacentral:rRNA from 1 species
GGGGGUCCCCUGCCCAAAACCCUCACGUGGUGCGGGGUAGGGGACCAGAACAGUCCGGUACGCUCAAGAGCGUCCGGCGCCAGCCGCUGGCCCUAAACAAUUAAACUCUAGUAACCUUACCUUCUGAGUUUUAUUACAAAAAAAAAUAAGUCAAAACUUUCAACAACGGAUCUGUUGGCUCUGGCAUCAAUAAACAAGGCACCAAAUUNC